CUCUAUGGCCAUGCCACCCUGAACAAGCCCAAUCCUGUCUGAUCUAGGAAGCUAAGCAGGGUCAGGCUGGGUUAGUACUUGAAUAGGAGACCACCUAGGAAGAUCAGGUGCUGUAGGCA
ensembl:rRNA 5S_rRNA 5S ribosomal RNA